rfam:Parcubacteria bacterium GW2011_GWA1_38_7 TT00_C0002, whole genome shotgun sequence.
AAUAGGAAAUUUAAGGGCGUAUGGUGGAUGCCUUGGCUAGAAAUAGCGAUGAAGGACGUGGCGUGGCGGCGAUACGCUUCGGGGAGGUGCCUAGCAACCUUUGAUCCGGAGAUUUCCGAAUGGGGAAACCUAUGAGAUUUAUCUCAUGUUCUGUCGUAAGACAGUUCGCACACCCUGGGAAGUAAAACAUUUCAGUACCAGGAGGAAUAUAAACUAAUAAGCAUUCCGUAAGUAGCGGCGAGCGAAAGCGGAGAAGCCCAAACCCCCACUUCACUGUGUGCUUCGCACAACAGUUUCGCGGGGCAAGCUCUUAAAUUUAAGGGCCUGCCCCGCGGAGCUCGGAGCGGAGCGUAGAGUGAAGUGGGGGGGUUGUAAGGCAGAAACUUCGUAUUUAUACGAGGAAAGUUACAAAAUUAUUUGUUAGAAGAAGCUUCUGGAAAGAAGCGCCCCAGUGGGUAAUAGCCCCGUAUUUGAAAACAAAUAGUCUUUCUUGUUUCUGUUCUUGAGUACCUCGAGACACGAAAAGCUCGGGGGAAUCUGCCGGAACUAACCGGUAAGGCUAAAUAUAUUUCUAGACCGAUAGUGAACUAGUACCGUGAGGGAAAGGUGAAAAGCAGCCCGGUUAGGGCGGUGAAAUAGACCUGAAACCAUAUGCCUACAAGGAGUCAGAGUCCCGAUCCGUAAGGAUCGUGGAUCAUGGCGUGCCUAUUGAAGAAUGAGCCAACGAGUUAAUUUAUGCGGUUGCCUAAGUGGUAGACCCACCGAGGCAAAGUGAAAGCGAGCGUGAAUAGCGCGAACUAAAAAUCGUAUAUAUUAGACCCGAAGCCAGGUGAGCUUGCCAUGGGCAGGGUGAAGUGGGGCGAAAGCCUCAUGGAGGCCCGAACCGGUUGGUCGUGCGAUUCCUUCGGAUGACCUGUGGUAAGGAGUGAAAAGCUAAUCGAACCUGGUAAUAGCUGGUUCUCUCCGAAAGAGCUUUUGGGUUCGCGUCG